rnacentral:rRNA from 1 species
AUUGAACGCUGGCGGCAGGCUUAACACAUGCAAGUCGAGCGAGCGGCGGACGGGUGUGUAAUGUCUGGGACACUGCCUGAUGGCGGGGGAUAACUAGUGGAAACGGUCGCUAAUACCGCAUACCAUUCGAUUUGCCCAGAUGGGAGUAGCUAGUAGGUGGGGUAAUGGCUCACCUAGGAGACGAUCCCUAGCUGGUCUGAGAGGAUGACCAGCCACACUGGAACUGAGACACGGUCCAGACUCCUACGGUAGGCAGCAGUGGGGAAUAGUGCACAAUGGGCGAAAGCCUGAUGCAGCCAUGCCGCGUGUGUGAAGAAGGCCUUCGGGUUGUAAAGCACUUUCAGCGAGGAGGCGUUACUCGCAGAAGAAGCACCGGCUAACUCCGUGCCAGCAGCCGCGGUAAUAC